UACGUAGGGUGCGAGCGUUGUCCGGAAUUAUUGGGCGUAAAGAGCUCGUAGGCGGUCUGUCGCGUCUGCUGUGAAAAACUCAGGGGCUUAACUCUGAGCUUGCAGUGGGUACGGGCAGACUAGAGUGCGGUAGGGGGAGACUGGAAUUCCUGGUGUAGCGGUGAAAUGCGCAGAUAUCAGGAGGAACACCGGUGGCGAAGGCGGGGUCUCUGGGGGCCGAAAAUUGACGCUGAGGAGCGAAAAGCGUGGGGGAGCGAACAGG
rnacentral:rRNA from 1 species